rnacentral:rRNA from 1 species
CCUACGGGAGGCAGCAGUGGGGGAUAUUGCACAAUGGGGGGAACCCUGAUGCAGCGACGCCGCGUGGGUGAAGAAGCGCCUCGGCGCGUAAAGCCCUGUCAGCAGGGAAGAAAAUGACGGUACCUGAAGAAGAAGCCCCGGCUAACUACGUGCCAGCAGCCGCGGUAAUACGUAGGGGGCAAGCGUUAUCCGGAUUUACUGGGUGUAAAGGGGGCGCAGACGGCGAUGCAAGCCAGGAGUGAAAGCCCGGGGCCCAACCCCGGGACUGCUCUUGGAACUGCGUGGCUGGAGUGCAGGAGGGGCAGGCGGAAUUCCUGGUGUAGCGGUGGAAUGCGUAGAUAUCAGGAGGAACACCGGUGGCGAAGGAGGCCUGCUGGACUGCAACUGACGUUGAGGCCCGAAAGCGUGGGGAGCAAACAGGAUUAGAUACCCUGGUAGUC